UACGGAGGGUGCGAGCGUUGUCCGGAAUCACUGGGCGUAAAGGGCGCGUAGGCGGCCUGAUAAGUAGGGGGUGAAAUCCUGCGGACUUAACCGCAGGGCUGCCCUUCUAAACUGUCAGGCUCGAGCACAGUAGAGGCAGGUGGAAUUCCCGGUGUAGCGGUGGAAUGCGUAGAGAUCGGGAAGAACAUCAGUGGCGAAGGCGGCCUGCUGGGCUGUUGCUGACGCUGAGGCGCGACAGCGUGGGGAGCA
rnacentral:rRNA from 1 species